CCCAAGGAACAGUGGCCCCAGCGUCAGGACGAGGCUCGAGGGAGCGGCUGGGCUGGGUCCCCAGCCGUGGGAGCACGGCCCUUCUGGAGUGCGGCGGUGGGGACGGCUCACGACAGCCUGUGCGUCUCAACCGGCGGCCGCGUGUGCACCAAGUGUCCAUCCUUCUAUCUCGGCUGCUUCCAGAGUCAAAGGAAGUUUAACAAACACUGUUGCAGAAGGACCGGAGUGGAUGCGGAGUGGCCUGGGGCGGCCGGCCCACGAGGUGUGAGGGGCGGCUCGGGGUGAAGGCUCCGGGGCUGGGCGGAUCACCCAAGCCUUCGGUGCAUCUGCUGCACCCUGGGCUCCGCGCCUUCUUCCUGCGCCCGCAGACACGCCUGUGGGUGGCCGAUCUGGGCGGCCGCUGAGCAGGUGCUGCGUGGGGCCAGGGGCCUCGCAGGGCUGUCCUCACCGCAGGCCUGCGCGAACACUGACCGCCUGCCACACAGACCCAGACACCCCGUCUGCGCGGCUCAGACCCUGUGCGGCCUUUUGAGUCAGGCCUCUCAGCAUGGCAUUGGGCUCGUGUGUGCCAAAGCAGUGCCCAUGUCCUGCUUUUUAAUGGCGGGACCGGUUUCCGCUGUGGCCGGACCAGAUUUCAUUUAUCCAUCCACGCUUGGUCGGCACUUGACUUGUCUCCACCUUCUGGCUACUGUAAAGCUGCCGUGAACAUUUGUGUACAGGUGUUUGUGUGGACGUCUGUCUUCCUCUCUCGGUCGACACCCAGGAGCAAAGGAGCCAGGUCACUGGUGACUGACUCUCAAGAACCACCAACCGGUCCCCACAGCAGCCGCCUGUUCCACGUGCCACAGUGGUGAGGCCCCAGCUCUCGGCAUCUCAGAAACAGAAACGUAAAUUACACCGGGGCUUGGGGUCUGGGUUCCCGAGCACCGUGCGUCUGGAGAAGAGGCCCGGCCCAAACACUGGGCAUCAGCCGCGGCCGCUGCAGCCAGCGUGACCAAAACCACGCACGCUCUGGCUGCGCAAGGCAGAAAGCCCUAAUUUAAGAUGUUCAGCACCAUCAUGUGGAGCUCCGUCUCCCGCCAUCGGGCUGUGAUUCCUGCCAGCAAACACACUGCUGUGGCUGCUGAUCAGUCUGUCACCGAGACAACAAGGCUCAACCAGAUGCACGGCAGCCGGUGCCUGCCCGGGAGGUGCAGAUCCUGGGCAGACACCACCUGGAAGGGGUCGAAAGCACAGACCAGCUUCAUUUUUUCUGUUAAAAGUUUUCUCAAAUAAUGGAUCGUUCCAGAAAGCACCUUAAAGUUGUCUGAAAUACUCCUGCCGAAGGGAAGCCACGCUCAAGUUCUGGGGGGCCUUGGACUGCUCCCCCGAGGGUUUGCUGGGACACCCUCCAAAUGCACGGCGAGGAUUGCAGGCUCCUGGCAGCACCUGAAAUUCUCCGCUGAGAUCCAAGGUCCAGGCUGCUGACGAGACCGCUGGGCUCAGCGAUGAACGGGUCACUGCGUCUGCCCUUCUCAGCUCACAGCUUCAGCACACAGGAGAACCUGGUGCCCAGCUCGCCAUCCGCUGGGGCAGGUCACCUGCCAUUGCCGAGUCAGUCCCUCCUGUCCCAGGGCUCCUGAGCACGAGUCGCAGAGACGCCUGUGAACACCAACCUACCGCAAAGUGCCUGCUAAACCGCUCUCCCCAACUCACUCUGGUGCUCGGCAGUGUCCCAGGACCCAGCCCCGGCCGCUGGCCCCCAGACGGGGGGAUGCAGGGGCCUCGCAGAGGUCGGGACGCCGAGUCAGCUGAGAACACCUCUCCUGCAGGCUGGGCUCUGGUAAGAGCCCCCGCCCCUUUCCCCUGGUCCGCGCGGCUCUCGAGGCCCAUGACGCCCCCUCUGACGGAUGCGGAAAGUGGGGCCGGCUGCUGCGCCGUGCUGGUCAGGGCUGCAGGGGGCACGGCUUUGUCACGCCCCCACGGCCUCUGCUCGGCCACUCGCGCACCUGACCAGUACGCAGGGGAGGCGCUCACGUCCCUGUGCUGGGAGCGGAAUGGCAGGCAGAUCGGGCAAAGGCGUUAAACGCCAUGGAAAGAAAGGGCCCCUGAUCCCUAACAGUCGUCUCGUGCCGCUAAAACACACCUGCGCUCGUCACGGUUCUGCGGAGACGCGGAACCACAUGCGGACACGCGGAACCACAUGCGGACACGCGCGGAGGAGAUUUGCUGCGGGAAGUGGUGCAGGCGGGUGGAGGCGCGAAGGCCCCAACGCUACAGGCUGCAGCUGGAGAAGCAGCGGGUCCGACACCCGGGGGCGGAGAGGCAGACGCCGGGGCUCAGAGGGGGCUGCACUCCCUCCUCUUUUCUGUCUCAUUUGGGCCUUCGGGGUCUGGACGAGGCCACCGCGUCGAGGAGAGCCAUCCGCUCCACUCCGCUGACUCAAAUGCUAACCUCGUGUGAACACCCAGAACUCAUGUGUCACCAGCUAUCUGCGCCCCCUUUAGGCCCGUCGAGUUGACACAUGAAAUCAACCGUCACAAUACUGUACACAGUGCAUGGAAUAACAGUGUAACAUCUUGUGGACUUGGCGACACACUGUGUCAGCUCCAGCUGCUGCAAGGAGCAGCAGAGGUCAGCGGAUGUGGCGCUCAGGGUUGCAGAGGCCACGCCCAGGGUCCGGCUGCUGCGGCCCCUCCCUGCCGCAGACACACCUCGCUGGGCCCUCGCGUGACAGCGAGUCACACGGGCUCUACCCUGUCUUGUAAGGACAUGGCCCUGUCAGACCGGCCCUUCCCGUGGCUUCAUUUCACCCCAAGGACCCCUGGAAGCCCCUCUCUGUAACAGCCAGCGCGCGCACAUUGCAGGGACGUGCCUCCAUUUACCAGCCUGCAGGGGACACCCGUGGACCCGUCACCGUGUUCUGAGGGGACUUUUCCGAGUGGGGAUGCUGGCUUUGAGUUGACACAGGACGAGAUAUUCCGAAGCCUGUUUCCACGAAGGCUCUGCAGGUGUCUCCACACCCAAAGCCUCCAACGGCCCACCAGCCCGUCCUUCCAGUCAGAGGACAGUAAACCCCGAGCAGCUUCCCGAAGGAGGCGCUCUGGAGGCGAGGAAGUUUUCAGAGUCACGCGCAGGGUCUGCGGUGAGGACAGACUAAAGGCGGAGGACAGGACAGCUACCAGCCAUGACGGAGGUGAAGGCUGGGAGGAGGUCAAGGGCUUGGGGCUGACAGGCACGUCUCAAAACCGUCAGGAUUCACGUUUUACCCGGAAAGUAUUAGCACAGACAGAAGCGUGUGCAAGAGGAACAGUGGCUGAGGGGCGGGCGCGGGCAGACGCCCAGCGGGUGCCGGGCCGUCACAGAGCAGAUGUUCGCGACUGUGCCCCUCGCCAGAGCUGCCCGGCGUCUCCCCCGGGAGACGUCAACACGCAGGACGGCCUGAGGGCCGAGCCGGGCGGAAAGUUUACACCGAGAAGAAAACCCAGGUGCCUCAGACUUGAUGACAAAUCGAGCUGCUGGAAGCUCAGAUGGCCAUCAGGAGCAGAUGACCGACAGCCUCCCGCUGCUAGUCCACCCUUCCCCCCAGCGAGGUGAAGUCCCUGUCACUGAGUGAAAAGCCUGCACGUUUCUGCCUCGACCACGCCACCCGGCACACGCCUCGCCUCGUCACGGGCCAGUUCAGUCCUCCACUUCCAGACCGGUCGGUCGGCCCUGGGGGCCAGGACGAGGAGCUGCCACACGGGGGGGCCACCGCCCUGGAGACCUGGCCAACCGCAGACCCCUGAGGAGCCGCCAGUCACAGCUGAACUGACCUGUGAUGCUUCCAUUUUUGUUGGAGGCUCUUUUUCCCUAACUAUUUCGGAUUUCUUUCAUUUUUGUUACAAACUUGGAGCGCUUGGUCAUUCCAGACUGUUCCAUCUGGCUUCCGUGCGGGUCUCUGAGGUGGCAGUGGUGAGUACACAGGCUUGGCAGAACGAAGGAGUAGCCGUUCAAGGGGUGAUCCCAGACGCCUGCCCUCAUUUCAGUCCACAGAAAGGGGGGCGAGUGGCGGGCGAACCUGCCAGCGACGGCAGCUUCGGUGACGCUCCAGCGGCCUGUCACGAACGGCGCCUGUCCCCGACGAGCAGCCACAGCUCAGAGCACCUCCGACCCGUGGGGGCGGUGAUCAGGCGACAGGCAGCAGGCACUGUGUCUGGGACGCCGUCUGCAAGCGCCGCGCGUGCCCCGUGCACCCCGCGAACCCCAUGAGCCCGCGCCUGCUGGGCCUGGCCGCUGCGCAGCCCCUUGGCCACUGCGGCCACCGCCGACCGCCAGCGCGGUCCUCUGAGCUGGCUGAGGGGGCAGGCAGCACAGCGUCAGGGGCAGAGCCGAGACCCACCGGACGACGCUGGUCCCACGGCCGUGUCCCGCAGGAGCGCGCGCCGCCCGCCCUGCCCCCUAACACCCUCCCUUCGGGCUGGGAAGGCCGCUGUCGCCCCACGGCGCGAUGACCUGCUCUGGCGCCACAGGUGGCAAAGCCACAGGGGUCCUUCCGAGUCCUCGCUGAACGGCCAAUUAUACCCUCAAAGGGGAUUUAACUUUUAAUGCACCAGGAAGAAGUGAUUUUAUAACUGAUUUUAAUAAAAGUAAAUUAACUUCC